GACGAACGCUGGCGGCGUGCCUAAUACAUGCAAGUUGAGCGCUGAAGGUUGGUACUUGUUCCAACUGGAUGAGCAGCGAACGGGUGAGUAACGCGUGGGGAAUCUGCCUUUGAGCGGGGGACAACAUUUGGAAACGAAUGCUAAUACCGCAUAAAAACUUUAAACACAAGUUUUAAGUUUGAAAGAUGCAAUUGCAUCACUCAAAGAUGAUCCCGCGUUGUAUUAGCUAGUUGGUGAGGUAAAGGCUCACCAAGGCGAUGAUACAUAGCCGACCUGAGAGGGGGAUCGGCCAAAAUGGGACUGAGAAACGGCCCAAACUCCUACGGGAGGCAGCAGUAGGGAAUCUUCGGCAAUGGACGAAAGGCUGACCGAGCAACGCCGCGUGAGGGAAGAAGGGUGUCGGAUCGUAAAACUCUGUUGGUAGAGAAGAACGUUGGUGAGAGUGGAAAGCUCAUCAAGUGACGGUAACUACCCAGAAAGGGACGGCUAACUACGUG
rnacentral:rRNA from 1 species